GGGCUAUAUGAUGCAAGAAAAUUUGUAGGAGAAAAUACACUCACGGGACACUUUACCUACAAGUACACUUUAAAAACAUAUGGAUAUUUAGCGGGAUGCGUAACCACUGUGAGCCACCCCCAACACCAACAUAAUUUAAGGACUUUAUAACUGAAACAACAACAGCUUACAUUUAGUUAUGUUUUAAAGUGCCGUGAGCAUGGCAGCGCCACCCACCCACUGUUAAAACCUGCUGUUUGUGAGAGGCUGCCAAUCAAAAAGACGACUGGCUGAAAGACGGAAGCUAAAAUUGCUCAUUUCAAAUGGAAAAGGGAACAAGAGCUGCAGUAAAGCCCCAAAUAUUAUAAAUAAGCAUUGUUGUAAACUAUGAACAAGCAGAAUAAAUGUGUGGAGCUGGAAAUGAGCACAACUCUCUUUUAAUCACUUUGACUGUCUUCUGUUUGGAAGAUCCAACAAAUGUUGCCAUGUUUUACUCUCUUACUUAUUAGAUACAUGAUUAUAGACAUAUUAGCUGUUAAUAUGUUUAUACAGUGUGCCUUUACUUUGCACAGUAACACAAAACAGUCCUCAAUUUCUGACAAAAAAAUUGUGGCGCUCAUACUGCCAUCUAGUGUUUCAGAUUUUCACUGCACAGUCUGCUCUGACCCCACCCAAAUGCUCUCAGGACUUUCAGAGUCGUGCAAUACGUGGAGACAGAUGGCAUCUGGCACUGUGCGGAUCUCUGCACAUACUCUGUACUUGUGUAUCUUUCAAAGGAUGUGAACCAUUAAAGCUGAAAAAAAAAAAAUCCUACUUUGCUAAAUCGCACACCAAGGACGUCAAAUGAAGCCAACACAGGAAAAUUCCUGGUAAUCCCUAUACCAGGAAGGGUUAGUCACCAUGCAGAACA